AUUUGGUUUAUCACUCUCCUCUCCAGAAAUAGAAUCUUGCUGUUUCUAAGCUACUGCAAAUCUUUUUUCCACAUAUAAAAACUGGUGGGGUGCUGCCACAAUGAACUAGCCACCACCGAUACACAGACACACUCUGCAUCCACAAUGCAGAUGGCAAUGGCAGCCUAGGACACACAGCUGUCAAUGCUACAUGUAUAAAAAAGAUAGUGCUGGUACUUUAG